rnacentral:tRNA from 1 species
CAAGACGUAGCUUAACCCAAAGCAUUCAGCUUACACCUGAAAGAUAUCUGCCCCCAACAGAUCGUCUUGA